AUGAACGCUAGCGGCAGGCCUAACACAUGCAAGUCGAGGGGCAGCACAGGUAGCAAUACUGGGUGGCGACCGGCGGAUGGGUGCGUAACGCGUAUGCAACCUACCAUUGAUUGGGGCAUAGCCCGAAGAAAUUCGGAUUAAUACUCCAUAAUAUUCAUCAAAGGCAUCUUUUAUGAAUUAAAGCUUUUGCGAUCAAUGAUGGGCAUGCGUGACAUUAGUUAGUUGAUGAGGUAACGGCUCACCAAAACGAUGAUGUCUAGGGGUUCUGAGAGGAUUAUCCCCCACACUGGUACUGAGACACGGACCAGACUCCUACGGGAGGCAGCAGUGAGGAAUAUUGGUCAAUGGACGCAAGUCUGAACCAGCCAUGCCGCGUGCAGGAUGACGGCCCUAUGGGUUGUAAACUGCUUUUCCACGGGAAGAACCCUCCGACGUGUCGGAGACUGACGGUACCGUGGGAAUAAGCAUCGGCUAACUCCGUG
rnacentral:rRNA from 1 species